AAAAAUUGAUAGAUUUGUGAAGAUAAAACAGUCCUGGAGAACUUUCUAACCCUUUAAUGUUAUUUUUCUCUUUCCAGGAUAAUGAUGCAAGAAGGAAAACUGACAAAUUUUUAGCCUACAAAGUUGAAGGUGAACAUGUACACAAGUUAGAGAAAGAUCAAGAGUUGGAUAAAGAGGGUGAAAGAAAACAUAGAGAAAAAAAAGAACAUUCUGUUGGGCCAGAAAAAGAGAGGCUUUCAAAAGAGAGAAGUCAUAAACGGUAUGGAAAGGAAGAGGAAGAAAAACAUAAAUCAAGGAGGUCUAAAGAGGGAUCUUCCCAUGGAGACAGAGAAGGACAAGCAGCAGAAGUUAAUGAGAGAAUAAAAAGCAGAGACAAUGAAAGAAAGAAGCAUGAUCUAAGGACCAGCGAAUACAAAAAGGAGGAGAGGAUUCAAGAGGAAACAAGCCAUCAGCAUGUAAGGACUGUAAAAGAUAAGGGAAAACUCAUUGAAAAAGAGGAAAAGGACACAAGACAAGAGGAAAUGAAAGAUACACACAUCUAUAAUUCAGACACAGGACUUAAUGACAUUUCAGCAAAUUAUGAAGAUGAUUUUGAAGUAAGUAAAAGCAUACAGUUGUCUGUGAAGUAAUUCUUGAGUAUCAAAAUAGUGAAUAGCUUUGUUGACAGAAA
rnacentral:lncRNA from 1 species